rnacentral:rRNA from 1 species
UAGGGAAUCUUCCACAAUGGACGAAAGUCUGAUGGAGCAACGCCGCGUGAGUGAAGAAGGGUUUCGGCUCGUAAAACUCUGAUGUUAAAGAAGAACAUAUCUGAGAGUAACUGUUCAGGUAUUGACGGUAUUUAACCAGAAAGCCACGGCUAACUACGUGCCAC